rnacentral:rRNA from 1 species
UACGGGGGGGGCGAGCGUUGUUCGGAAUCACUGGGCGUAAAGGGCGCGUAGGCGGUUUGGCAAGUUUGGUGUGAAAUCUUCGGGCUCAACUCGAAGUCUGCAUCGAAAACUGCCGGGCUUGAGUAUGGGAGAGGUGAGUGGAAUUUCCGGUGUAGCGGUGAAAUGCGUAGAUAUCGGAAGGAACACCUGUGGCGAAAGCGGCUCACUGGACCAUUACUGACGCUGAGGCGCGAAAGCUAGGGGAGCAAACAGG